GACGAACGCUGGCGGCGUGCUUAACACAUGCAAGUCGAACGGAAAGGCCCUGCUUUUGUGGGGUGCUCGAGUGGCGAACGGGUGAGUAACACGUGAGUAACCUGCCCUUGACUUUGGGAUAACUUCAGGAAACUCGGGCUAAUACCGGAUAGGAGCUCCUGCUGCAUGGUGGGGGUUGGAAAGUUUCGGCGGUUGGGGAUGGACUCGCGGCUUAUCAGCUUGUUGGUGGGGUAGUGGCUUACCAAGGCUUUGACGGGUAGCCGGCUUGGGAGGGUGACCGGCCACAUUGGGACUGAGAUACGGCCCAGACUCAUACGGGGGGCAGCAGUGGGGAAUAGUGCACAAUGGGCGGAAGCCUGAUGCAGCAACGCCGCGUGCGGGAUGACGGCCUUCGGGUUGUAAACCGCUUUAGCCUGUGACGAAGCGUGAGUGACGGUAAUGGGUAAAGAAGCACCGGCUAACUACGUG
rnacentral:rRNA from 1 species